AUCUGUGGUCUAGGAGGCACAGUCCUUAACUGGUUUAAGUCUUUCCUCACAGAUAGAUCACAGAGAGUAACAUCAGGAUCAAGCUCAUCGGCACCAACAUAACUGGCCUGCGGAAUUCCACAAGGAUCCAUCUCGUCUCCCCUGCUAUUCGCAAUUUACUUGCUACUGUAACCGCGGCUUGUUCCCUUACUUACCACUAUAAUGUCUUAAAGCACAGAACUUAGUAGGGCUAACCAUA